CUCGAUGUAGUAAUAACGCACAACGCGCUUACAACGCGAAUUCGAAAAAGCGUCUCCCGUGGAGAGCUCGUCUCUCGGUCGCGACGGUCGUUUUCUCCGAAAUAAGAUGAAAUUUGUAUAUUCGCGCGGAGGAACUUUCCACGAUGAAAACUUAAAGGUCGCCGUGCUCCGCACAUAUAUACGUCGCGAUGCGUGAUCUCGCGUAACGGUCGCUCGCGCGAAUCGCAGUCUCUCUCUCUCUCUCUCUUUGCGAAAGAAAAUCCGCGAUUUAUUUUCGCGUGCUCUAUAUCCGCAUUUUCGAAAUUAUUAAAGUGCAGAAAGUCGAACAUGAUAGGAGGUCUGUCCGAAUGAGAAUAGAGCUGUAAACAAAACUACUGUAUACACGCGUUUCUUCCGUGUAUGUGUGUGGUGUGUGGGUGCGAAAUUGGACUCGGGAAAACCGGAUUAAGUCGUUCCCACGGAUGAGACGCAAACCUUCGUUGUUGUGGAAAUGAGUGCGAAUAUAAAAAACAUCUCGCGGAGCUCUCUUUUGCCUGAUGUUAACAUUGUCUUCCCACAGCUACUGGUAAUGCCCUUUUUUAAUCAGAAGUCCGCAAGGUGGUCCUCCUUGUCCGGUUCUAAUUUUAGCUGAGAAUAAUACAGAAAUGUGAGCAGUGACUUCAUAUUCACAAAUGGCACAGAGCGUUCACUUUUACAUCAUUUGUGAAUAAAGAGAAGCAAAAUUGGUCUAGCUUGAUGGUAAUGCGGGGAUGUGGAUCUGCUUCAACCCGAUAGAAAGCCGAAUAGGCUGGGGUACUUCCAUUUUGUUCAUCGCGCUUCUAUAUUGGACCUCAAUCACCAUUGAUGCCAGUCUGACGAAUGUGGCUGCGUCCAAUGUUCCACGUAGCACUGUCACGUCGGAGGUAUCGCUUCCAGCGUCGGCACAUCAUGAGAACGACGAAUGUAGGAAUGUGACCACUGACAAUAGAGAAGGUACUGGACUGUCAGUGGUCAGCCAUGGAUCCGGUUAUCCUCAUUCGCCGAUAGUGCCUCCAACCUUUCUGAACGCAGCUCUUACCUGCCAACCCUAUCAAGGAAUUUAUGUGAACCACAUCUACUUUCAACUCGCAAAUGCCUUCUUCUUAUUGUCACAUCUUGCACCAAGCGGCAUACAUGGUGUACUCUAUUUAAGGUGCACUCUACUCGUGGGUUGUGCCUUUCUUGCUUUGUGGGGCUGGACAAUAGCUUGCUGGCUGGACGCUGCUCUCUGGAAUGCUCUCUUUGUUGCCAUCAACUUCGUCCAUGUAUGCACGCUUCUUUACAAGCUCAGGCCUAUCAAGUUUACAAGGGAAAUCGAAGAGGUCUACGUUGCAGUGUUCCAGCCGUUACGGGUGUCUCGUCAUCAGUUCAAAAAAGUAUUAAAUUGCAUGAAGGUCAUUCGCCAGUUGAAAUAUCAAGAGGUUUACGCACAAGAAAAAGUGACCAAAGUCGAUUCUUUAUCAUUAGUGCUGUCGGGAAAGCUAGUUGUCUCUCAAAAUGGAAGAGCAUUGCAUAUUGUCUUCCCACAUCAGUUCCUGGACUCUCCAGAAUGGUUUGGUGUCUCAACGGAUGAGUACUUCCAGGUAUCAAUAACAGCUAUGGAAGAAUCGAGAAUAUUAUUAUGGCAUAGAGACAAAUUAAAAUUAAGCAUUAUUAGCGAUCAAUUCCUGCAGGCAGUGUUUGAUCACAUUCUGGGCAGAGAUGUAGUUAAAAAAUUAAUGCAGGUCAGCGAAACAAUGGCUGCAAGCAGUCAUCAGCAGCAAAAUGGACAGAUAAUUGGUCUGGGUGGAAUCGGAGCCUUAGAAACUGACGCUGAUACGAAACUUUUUGUUGUAAAAAAGACUGGUGACAGUCAAGGAAUUACUGCUCUAAUCAGUCGUCAACUUCAAGAAGAAAGAAUGCCGCUGCUGUACACGAGCCAAGAAGUGUUGAACAAUACCCUGCAUCAUACGAACCGCCUACAUGUACCACCUUGUACAUUCCUUUCGCAUCCUGUGUCAAACAACGUUCAGAAUUUGCCGUAAUAUCCUUGUCUGCUGAUUUUGCUCAACGCUGUAGCACUAAACGGUAUGUGUUGUGUAUCGUAUGUGAUGUCCCUGCAAUGGAUACGUAUACAUUACACAAAAUGUCAUAGCGAUACUAUUUAUCGUUGUUCCUGAACACCGAGCGGCAGGAGAUCCGAACGCUUGGAGAUUGGGAAGAAUCGACGAGACUGAUCACGAAACACCUGUUUAAAGAAAAGAUCGUUAAAUCAAUGUUAUCCUCGACAGUCAAUAUAAACGUAACACCGGUGUUUUUACGCAUUGAGAUAACGACAAGCCUGGUAUAAUUCAUCGUGACUAGAAAAACAAAAAAAAAACAAAAAAAAACAAAACAAAGAAAAAUAAACCAACCGUGGCAUGUUGUUGAAACUGUGCUUAGAACAAUCGAACAUUCUCUCGCCAAUUAAUAAUUUUCCUGGUGGAUAGUCAAACCAAUGUAACGCGAUAAUAAGAAAAAAAAAACAAAUUCCAUUGUUUUGUAGUAAUAUAAUGAAUUCCACUAUAGUUUAUAAAGCAACUAACAAUAAGUUAACGCUUCCACUGUGUAUUCGUUGAGCAUGCGCGAGCUUACAUGGAGCCGAGGGGAGUAUGUAUCUAUUUAUUAUUUAUUUCGGUGAAAUUGACAUGGGUGUUGUAUGUGUGUGCGACAAUUUGAGAAUGUGAACAAUAUGGACUUCAAGAAGUACGCGGGUAUGAUAAAACGAGGAGGGGGUACGACACAAAAACGCUCGCGGCGACGUUAACAACUUCUCUGACCCGCGCACGCGAGAGUUCGCGUGUGACGUCGCGAGGCUGACUUUUAAAAAGAAACUGAUCGGGGGAGGCCUAAAGAAACUGAUUCUUUCCCAUACCCACAGAAAUAGUGCCUUUUUACUUACACUUCCUUUCUGAAUGUUUUCAUGUGAAAAAAAAAAAAAAAAAAAAAAAAAAAAAAAAU